rnacentral:lncRNA from 1 species
AUGAAGACCAUCCGCAGCAAUCAGACUGUUGAUAUUCCGGAAAAUGUCAUUACUCUGAAGGGAUGCAAAGUUAUUGUGAAGGGCCCCAGAGGAACUCUGUGGAGGGACUUCAAUCACAUCAGUAUAGAACUCAGUCUUCUUGUAAAGAAAAAAAAGAGGCUCCGGCUUAACAACACUUGUGGUGAGGUAACAGAAAGGAACCGGCUAUGGUUCAGACUAUUUGUAGUCAUGUACAGAACAUGAUCAAGGGUGUUACACUGGGCUUCCAUUACAAGAUGAGAUCUGUGUAUGCUCACUUCCCCAUCAACAUCGUUACCCGGGAGAAUGGGUCUUUUGUUGAAAUCCGAAAUUUCUUGGGUGAAAAAUACAUCCGCAGGGUUAGGAUGAGACCAGGUGUUGCUUGUUCAGUAUGUCAAACCCAGAAACAUGAAUUAAUCCUUGAAGGAAAUGACAUUGAGCUUGUUUCAAAUUCAGCGGCUUUGAUUCAGCAAGCAACAACAGUUAA